GCUGAUGUUUCCCCAUGGGCUCAUUUUUAGCCGUGGCCUUUCCCACUGGCCACCACUAAUUCAGCCACCACCUCCUCUUCAGAGAGCAGGCUGAGCAGCUCUUGAUUGCCUGGUUUGAUGCAUCAUCCCAGCGAUUGCCACUGCCCGAAAGAAGGACAUCAGGAGUGUUGGCCGAGGUCAGACACUGCUGUUCCCAGAGAAGAAUGUGCCCAAAACAGAAGAGUUGGUCACUUGGGAAGAACUGCCUUUUGUAGCAGCUGACAGGUCUGUAUUGUAGCCCAUUUAGUCUGUCCCAGCUGAAAAACAAGCAGAGAAGAGCUCCAGAUGGCAGAAAAGAGGGCUUCUAAUGGGAUAGGAGAGAAUGACACAGGCCUGAAUUACAAGUAUACUACAAUCUCACAUUUUGGCAAAGAUGAGAAGUCCUGCCACAACAAAGCUCCGAAAUGCAUUCAAAACCAAAUACAUUUGUGAACAAAAUACUCUUCUAUUCUUCAUUGCACUCUGAUCUCCGUACCAGCAGCUUUGCCUACAACCCUACCCAGAGAUAAAAAUACCUUUGUGGUGCCAUACAAUAACUAAAUCAUAGCCAAACCUGGUAGCAAUGGAACCAGCCCCUACAAUGAACCAAAUAUUCUUGACAAAUACAGAAAGAGGAAGGAGGAAAGAUAGACCCAGAGUCAACUUGAAAAAGUGAAGAGGACAAGAAACAGAGGCAAUGUCCACCUCAAGGUGGGGAAAAAAGUGCAUGGGAAGGAAAACUGUCUGUGUUAUCCCCUCCAUACCUGGUACUCUUGAAGGGCGGACCGUGAAAGAUCCUGGGAGAUGGGCACUCUAACAGUCAUUACAAACAGGAAUGUCAAGCACAGUAUGUUGGUCCUCUCUAGGCAGCUUUUGCCCACAUGGACUGGCAGAAAUUGUACUUUUUUUGGCAGCCCCUUGCUUCUAAAGGUUCCUAGGGCUGUGAAAGAAUGCGACACCCAGGCAUGCCUCAGCUGGGAGGGUGAUGCUUCACCAGCCUCCCCCCAGCAGUUUUCUCCCCAGAUGCAUAUGGAGCCUCGGGGAGCACCAAGAGACCUGACAACUCAUGAGCCUCUAUGCAGAAGCCUCCCAGUCGCGCUGGCUGCAUGCAAGGCUCAGCUGGACUUCUUUAUCCCACACCACACCCUGCUCACAGCU